rnacentral:rRNA from 1 species
UACGAAGGGGGCUAGCGUUGCUCGGAAUUACUGGGCGUAAAGCGCGUGUAGGCGGCUAAGUAAGUCGGGCGUGAAAUCCCACGGCUCAACCGUGGAAGUGCACUCGAAACUGCAUAGCUAGAGUCCUGGAGAGGAAGGUGGAAUGCUUGGUGUAGAGGUGAAAUUCGUAGAUAUCAAGCGGAACACCGGUGGCGAAGGCGGCCUUCUGGACAGUGACUGACGCUGAGACGCGAAAGCGUGGGGAGCAAACAGG